rnacentral:rRNA from 1 species
AGCGGCGGACGGGUGAGUAAUGCUUAGGAAUCUGCCUAUUAGUGGGGGACAACAUUCCGAAAGGAAUGCUAAUACCGCAUACGCCCUACGGGGGAAAGCAGGGGAUCUUCGGACCUUGCGCUAAUAGAUGAGCCUAAGUCAGAUUAGCUAGUUGGUGGGGUAAAGGCCUACCAAGGCGACGAUCUGUAGCGGGUCUGAGAGGAUGAUCCGCCACACUGGGACUGAGACACGGCCCAGACUCCUACGGGAGGCAGCAGUGGGGAAUAUUGGACAAUGGGCGCAAGCCUGAUCCAGCCAUGCCGCGUGUGUGAAGAAGGCCUUUUGGUUGUAAAGCACUUUAAGCGAGGAGGAGGCUACUUGGAUUAAUACUCUAGGAUAGUGGACGUUACUCGCAGAAUAAGCACCGGCUAACUCUGUGCCAGCAGCCGCGGUAAUACAGAGGGUGCGAGCGUUAAUCGGAUUUACUGGGCGUAAAGCGUGCGUAGGCGGCUUUUUAAGUCGGAUGUGAAAUCCCUGAGCUUAACUUAGGAAUUGCAUUCGAUACUGGGAAGCUAGAGUAUGGGAGAGGAUGGUAGAAUUCCAGGUGUAGCGGUGAAAUGCGUAGAGAUCUGGAGGAAUACCGAUGGCGAAGGCAGCCAUCUGGCCUAAUACUGACGCUGAGGUACGAAAGCAUGGGGAGCAAACAGGAUUAGAUACCCUGGUAGUCCAUGCCGUAAACGAUGUCUACUAGCCGUUGGGGCCUUUGAGGCUUUAGUGGCGCAGCUAACGCGAUAAGUAGACCGCCUGGGGAGUACGGUCGCAAGACUAA